rnacentral:rRNA from 1 species
UACGGAGGGGGCAAGCGUUGUCCGGACUUACUGGGCGUAAAGGGCGCGUAGGCGGCCUGCUGCGUCGGUGCUGAAAGCGCCCGGCUUAACCGGGCGAGGCGUGCCGAUACGAGCGGGCUGGAGCCUUGGCGAGGGUGGCGGAACUCCUGGUGUAGUGGUGAAAUGCGUAGAGAUCAGGAAGAACACCCGUGGCGCAAGUGGCCACCUGGCCAAGAGCUGACGCUGAGGCACGAGAGCGUGGGGAGCGAACCGG